GACGAACGCUGGCGGCGUGCUUAACACAUGCAAGUCGAACGGAAAGGCCCUGCUUUUGUGGGGUGCUCGAGUGGCGAACGGGUGAGUUACACGUGAGUAACCUGCCCCUGACUUUGGGAUAACUUCAGGAAACUGGGGCUAAUACCGGAUAGGAGCUCCUGCUGCAUGGUGGGCGUUGGAAAGUUUCGGCGGUUGGGGAUGGACUCGCGGCUUAUCAGCUUGUUGGUGGGGUAGUGGCUUACAAAGGCUUUGACGGGUAGCCGGCCUGAGAGGGUGACCGGCUACAUUGGGACUGAAAUACGGCCCGGACUCCUACGGGAGGCAGCAGUGUGGAAUAUUGCAUAAUGGGCGGAAGCAUGAUGCAACAACGCAGCGAGCGGGAUGACGUAAUACGGGUUGGAGACCGCUUUCUCCUGUGACGAAGCGUGAGUGACGGUAAUGGGUAAAGAAGCACCGGCUAACUACGUG
rnacentral:rRNA from 1 species